CACACCGUAAACGAUGAACACUAGAUGCUGGGGAGUUUGUUCUUCGGUGUCGCCGCUAACGCAAUAAGUGUUCCGCCUGGGGAGUACGCUCGCAAGGGUGAAACUCAAAGGAAUUGACGGGGGCCCGCACAAGCGGUGGAGCAUGUGGUUUAAUUCGAUGCAACGCGCAGAACCUUACCUGGACUUGACAUGGGGGUGACCGGACGAGAGAUCGUCCUUUCUCUUCGGAGACACCCCGCACAGGUGC
rnacentral:rRNA from 1 species